UUUUACUUUUCAUAUAUUUGAAAUGAAACCUAAUCGGACUAAAAUUCGGAAAAUGAUUUUUUUAAACUUCUUUUACUUUUAGAAAAAAAACAAAUGUCAAACAAUUUCAAAUAAAUAAGUACCGUAUGAAGCCUUUGUAAACUGAUAUCAAGUUGAAAACAAGUGGUUUUGACAAUAUGUCCAUUCGUUUUUGAUGCGUUUUGUUAUUUGAUUUUGCCAUGUGAUUAUGGACUUUCCCAAUUGAUCCUCCUCUAAGUUCAGUAUUUUUGUGAUUUUACUUUUUGAUAAACCCCACGGACGCCACAUGAAUUUUUUUUCAAUUCAAUCGUUAUUCGUACUAUGAAUUAAGCAGUAAUAGAAAGUGGAAAAGUAAACAUGAUGAUUUAUAGUUUUUUAGACAAACAUUGACCAAUUCUUGAGCAGUUUCAGAUUUUUCUCUAAAAAAAACCGGUUGAUCGGGGUUUUAUUUAUUAAUUUAGCAACAUUAAAAAACAUACAUGGUCAUAUAUCAAUUAAAAUCCAAUGUUCACUCAGCACUAAAAGUUUAUAUAUACAUAUAACACAGUAAACGUCAGUAUACUAUUAUACAGUACUUGUAGCACAGUUGACAUAUUUGUCAAAGCGGAAAAAUUGUAGCCAACUAACUUAAUGAAGUCUAAACUAGUAAUCUCUUCUCUACCAUACUUAGACUCAAAAUACACUUUCUUAAAUACCAGGGGCCCAGAAGUUCAAACAAUUAUUAAGGAAUUAUAUAAUCAUAAUAAAAUACAAAUCAAGAAAAAAUACUAUAAUAAAAAAAAGUCUUAUACAUCAUUAUUCUCAUUUUUUACAGGUGAACUACAGGUAAAAAUGCGGAAAUGUAGUAUCUAUUUUUUUUCGGAAAAGUAAUGCACGAAAAUGCGGAAACGUUAUACACCCCUUAAAUUAAAGAAUCUGAGUGUUUAAUCAACUGUUAUAUUAUAUGGCAUGUGUCAAUCGGUUCAUUGAUUUUCGAUAUAUCAAAGAAAAACGGGCACAUGCUAAGAUAAUGUUGAAUAUCUUGUUUAUAUAUGAUUAUUUUUCUAUAAAAUUGAAAUUUUUUGCAUUAAAUAUCAAUCUCUAACAUAAUAUGUAAAAAUAAUACAUAUAACAGCACUCCUUCUAGUCCUUAGUGGCAUUGUAUAGUCCUUAGCAGUGUUUAGACGUACCGCCAUGUAAAUACUAUCAACGAAUAGAAGAACACUUCUGAUUUACAGGGAAAAUCAUUUUUGCUUUUCAAUAUUACACUAAUAUCAACCAGGGACACCCAUAUAGUCACAAGUGCUCUGCUCGAAGAAAUAUAUUUGUUGAUUGUUUAUAUGGUGUGUGGUAUCGAAAAGGCCGUAUCAUUUGUAUUAAUUAUAAACAUGUUUCUUAAGAAGGUGAUUUCUUUUUUGUGGCAUGACGUUAUACAAAUUUCGGGGUUGAAUAAAGUUUUUGAAACCUUCACUGAUAUGAUGACAUGAUAUAAACUCAUCACAGAUAACAGGAUUGAAAUUUUAUAUUUACGUGAGACGCACGUUUUG
rnacentral:lncRNA from 1 species